CUACGGGGUGCUGCAGUGAGGAAUUUUGCGCAAUGGGGGAAACCCUGACGCAGCAACGCCGCGUGAGUGAAGAAGGCCCUUGGGUCGUAAAGCUCUGUCAAUGGGGAAGAAGUUACUUGGUAUUAAUAGUGCCUUGUAUUGACGGUACCCAUGAAGGAAGCACCGGCUAACUCCGUGCCAGCAGCCGCGGUAAUACGGGGGGUGCAAGCGUUAUUCGGAAUUAUUGGGCGUAAAGGGCACGCAGGCGGUCCUGUCAGUCAGAUGUGAAAGCCCGGGGCUCAACCCCGGACGUGCAUUUGAAACAGCAGGACUUGAGUACGGGAGAGGAAAGGGGAAUUCCUGGUGUAGAGGUGAAAUUCGUAGAUAUCAGGAGGAACACCGGUGGCGAAGGCGCCUUUCUGGACCGAUACUGACGCUGAGGUGCGAAGGCGUGGGUAGCGAACGGGAUUAGAUACCCCAGUAGUC
rnacentral:rRNA from 1 species